rnacentral:lncRNA from 1 species
CUUGAAAAUCAUGGAAUCAGCGAAUGAAAAAGGAACAGAUUAAAAAAGAAACUAGUUAUCUUUGGAGAUCCAUGGCUGUGUAAAUAGAAAACCCUUACACUCUGGUGAGCUCUGUCUCAAAUGCACUCCUCAAAGAGUAACCAGGAGGUUGGCAGCAGAGUUGGUCAGUUAUGAUACUAUUAAGCGACUGCUUGCUUUGGGCUUGGUAUUGAUUUGUGCCCAUAAGUCAGGCAGGCUACAGGAGUGUACCACAUGCCUGCUUCAGCUGGUUUGCCUUUGGCUGUAGCUGUGAGUGCGCUGUGGUGAGCCGGGCCUACCCAGAGGCCCUGCUGCAGUGUGGCAGGGGAGGUGGCAGCACUGCUGCCUCCACACAAGGCCAAGUACUCAGCACAAUGCCCCACACCACACAAACAACUUCCUCCCUCAUUUCUGGAGCUGUUCUGCUGGUUAAAUAGAGAAGAGUAAAUUAGGGGAAGCUCAGCCAGCUGGUGACCUUGCACUGCCUCCCGACCUGCCGGAACGCCUGAGGGAUGAGUUCACUGGCUGAGGAAAAAUGGCUCUAAUAAACAGUGGCAACCGUUGGUCUGGCAAUAAAUCCUCCUCAGCUUGGGGCCUUGCGCAUUGUAGUCUCCUCAACAAACCCUGGGUGCUGCACGGAGACCCAUCCUUGUUUUUCACCAGCAAGGUAGGAGUAACAUGGACUCAGUUGUUGGGCAAAGCAGCAGACUCAAAAGAUGAAGUUUGGUACAGUUGUCAGUUUGAGGAAGUUGCCAUUCCUGGGAAAUACACAUUUGGUAGGCUUUAUGGUCUUAAACAUGUACUAAAGCUUUACGUGUCUUUUCUUCACAAAAAUUCUCAUGUUACAUUCAGAACUUGAAUUAAUGAGGAAAGUGUAAUAAAUACAGGUUGAGAAUAGAAACCA